UUCCCUGCAGCGCAAUGGAUAGCGCGUUGGUCGUCUAAAUCAAAGAAGGUGGGUUCGAAUCCCACCUGGGAUG